rnacentral:piRNA from 1 species
UGAAAAAAAAAUUCUAAGGAACACAAUA